CCGUGCUAGAUGGGGAGGUAGCGGUGCCCUGUAACUCGCAAUCCGCUGUAGCGAGGUUGAAUUCCUGUCUGAGGUUGUGCCUAUGCGGGGCCUUGGCUUCUGUGAAUAGUGUUGACGGUUGGGUCCUCCGCAAUGGACGCUUGUGAACCCGGUCAGGUCCGGAAGGAAGCAGCCAUAAGCAAGUUAGUCUAUGUGCCGGGGGAGUGCCUGGCUCGAGCAGGGAUCAGACAUGCCGCCCGGGUUGCAUUAAUCGGGGACAGGUGCACGG
rnacentral:SRP_RNA from 1 species